rnacentral:lncRNA from 1 species
GUAAAUUGUUAAAGUAUUUUCAUUCAAUGAUGAAUAGAUUUUUGUGUGAUCUAGUAAUAUAUAGGAAAUUUUCAUGUUCACCACUUUAUUGGUACCAUUAUUCAAGUUUACCAAUCACUAAAGAGAUAUUUUCAAAAAUAUAUUCUUUAUUAAGAGGCACAAGACAUGUAUACCCUUAAUAUAUAUAAUAAAUAAUUAUUUAAAUAAAUAAAAUAUGAAAAAAUAUUUUUUUUUAUGUUUUUGAAUUGUAUUUUUUUAAACUCGAUUUUUUUUUACAAAUUUUGUUUCUGAUUUUUUUUUAUUGAAAUGCAA